UACGUAGGGGGCAAGCGUUGUCCGGAAUUAUUGGGCGUAAAGAGCGUGUAGGCGGCCAGAUAAGUCCGCUGUGAAAACUCGAGGCUCAACCUCGAGACGCCGAUGGAAACCGUCUGGCUAGAGUCCGGAAGAGGAGAGUGGAAUUCCCGGUGUAGCGGUGAAAUGCGCAGAUAUCGGGAAGAACACCCGUGGCUAAGGCGGCUCUCUAGUACGGUACUGACGCUGAGACGCGAAAGCGUGGGGAGCGAACAGG
rnacentral:rRNA from 1 species